AAGCGGAGGAGCAUGUGGUUUAAUUCGAUGAUACGCAGGACCUUACCUGGGCUCGAACGUAAGAUGACUGUAGGUGAAAGCUUACAUCUCUUCGGAGCAUUUUACGAGGUGCUGCAUGGUUGUCGUCAGCUCGUGCCGUGAGGUGUCGGGUUAAGUCCCAUAACGAGCGCAACCCUACCUUUAGUUGCCAUCAGGUAAUGCUGGGGACUCUAAAGGAACUGCCUACGCAAGUAGUGAGGAAGGCGGGGAUGACGUCAAAUCAGCACGGCCCUUACGUCCAGGGCUACACACGUGCUACAAUGGCCGAUACAGAGGGCAGCUACCUGGUGACAGGAUGCAAAUCUCCAAAGUCGGUCUCAGUUCGGAUCGGAGUCUGCAACCCGACUCCGUGAAGUUGGAUUCGCUAGUAAUCGCGCAUCAGCCAUGGCGCGGUGAAUACGUUCCCGGGCCUU
rnacentral:rRNA from 1 species